UACGAAGGGUGCAAGCGUUACUCGGAAUCAUUGGGCGUAAAGCGCACGUAGGUGGUUUGUUAAGUCGGGUGUGAAAGCCCUGGGCUCAACCCAGGAAGUGCACUCGAAACUGGCAGACUUGAGUACUGAAGAGGGUCGCGGAAUUCCCGGUGUAGAGGUGAAAUUCGUAGAUAUCGGGAGGAACACCAGUGGCGAAGGCGGCGACCUGGGCAGAUACUGACACUGAGGUGCGAAAGCGUGGGGAGCAAACAGG
rnacentral:rRNA from 1 species